UAGCUCUCGGACGGUAGCACGCCGCGUGGAGUGACGAAGGUUUCGGAUCGUAAAGCUCUGUUGUUAGGGAAGAACAAGUGCCGUUCAAAUAGGGCGGCACCUUGACGGUACCUAACCAGAAAGCCACGGCUAACUACGUGCCAGCGGCCGCGGU
rnacentral:rRNA from 1 species